ensembl:snoRNA SNORD42 Small nucleolar RNA SNORD42
AUGCCAAUGAUGGAUACCUAGAUUUUCCUGAGAACAAUGAUGUUGUCAAAGGAACCACUGACGGCAU